rnacentral:lncRNA from 1 species
AUGAAAACAGAGAAGGCUGGGGCCAGGAGCAGGAGGGAGAGGCUGCACGUAUGCCCAGGGAGGACCCAUUCCUGCUGCCGGCCAGCGCGGGGCUCCCCGGCAGCCUUUAGGACAAAGGGAACAGGUUUCGGCCAGAGGAGGCCCCGGGCCGCUGGUUGGUGGGGGGCCCGGCUGGGUGGGGCUGGGACCCACAGCCUCGCUGUUGUCAUCUUGUUUCCAGGUCUCGUUGUGGGGGCCCCACGAUUGGAAAGGAGGUGGGCGGCUGCUGGCCCCGAGGGAGCUGAUGUGCUGACCCCAGUGCCUUUUCGACCCUCAGACCUGUGGUUCCAUCUCGGAGCUCCUUGUAGGGCCGACGCGCACCUUGCUCAGCACACAGCACGCGGUCCAGUCCGGCUCCCCGGCUUUCACGGCUGCCCCAGUUCGGAACAUGGAAGCACAGCGUACUCUGCUGGUAUGACCCUUGCUGCUGGAGACCCUUCAGACCCGUCUCCACACGGCUCCAUCACAGUGUCCUCUUGCCCCCGGCGUGACCCGCCUCCGGUCCCAGGAAGCCUCCGGCGGCCCUUGCCCCAUGGACUGGAAGCUGGGGUUGCUGCCCUGCUGGGCUGGCCUCGGUCACUGUCCCCAGCAGCCCUCGAGGUGACCCCGAGCCCGGCACGGCACGUCGUGCUGGCAGCUGGGGGGCGGUGCACCACGGUGGUGAAAGCCCUGCCCCUUCCCCCUCUGGGCACUUUCCGUCUCCUGGGAGCGAGAGGGCUUCCGCGUGGGGGGCUGGUUUUUAUCCAUUUCCUUGGUCACUUCUCUUCACGUCGGAAGGGCUCCGUCUUGGGAUGUCACGCCUCUUGUGUUCAGGCGGAAGGUCGCUGGUAGCAUCCCGCUGCCGUGUGUUUGCUCGAACCUGUUGAUCUUUCCUCUCGAUGGCGCCAGCGUGGGUGGUUUGUCCCUUUGACUGCGUUGCGGUAUUUCAGACUCUCCUGCAAUGACUUCUACACUGAGAAAGGUGUUUAAGGGAAGAACAGGACGUCUACCAUGUGCCCCCAUGCCCUGGCAGGAAGUGGAUUGUGGGAAAAGUUGGCACGAGCUGCUUUAAAAUAACCCGGAAAGUUCUUGAUUGGACAGACGGUUGACAUUUGUCACCCUUGUGAUGCCAGGGGUCCUCGGGCAGCUGCCGAAUCUGUGGCCCCUUCUUAGAGAAAGGUCUUCGAGCUGUAACCUAAAACAUGUGGAAAUACAAGGAGAAUAAUUAUACUGAAAAACUGC